UACGGAGGGUGCGAGCGUUGUCCGGAUCAUUGGGCGUAAAGGGCGCGUAGGUGGCCCGGUCAGUCAGUGGUGAAAGCGCGGGGCUCAACUCCGGCGUCGGCCAUUGAUACUGCUGGGCUGGAGCACUGUAGAGGCAGGCGGAAUUCCGGGUGUAGCGGUGGAAUGCGUAGAGAUCCGGAAGAACACCGGUGGCGAAGGCGGCCUGCUGG
rnacentral:rRNA from 1 species